rnacentral:rRNA from 1 species
AGUCACUGACAUUAGAUACCCCUGUAGUCCAGGGUGUAAACGCUGCAGACUUGGUGUUUGGAAGUCCUUUUGGGGGCAUUCAGUGCCGGAGAGAAGUUGUUAAGUCUGCUACUUGGGAGUACGUCCGCAAGGCUGAAACUUAAAGGAAUUGGCGGGGGAGCACCGCAACGGGAGGAGCGUGCGGUUUAAUUUGGAUUCAACACCGGAAAACUCACCAAGGGCGACUGUUACAUGAAAGCCAGGCUAAUGACCUUGCUUGAUUUUCAG